GCCACAGCCACAUUCCAUAAACAGCACUGUUCAAAUAGAUAGCGCAGAUUUGACGUGUUGGCAUAGUGCCGAUGUUUUCCUACUAGUUAUUAACAUAUGUAUUAUUGAAAUGAGGAAUUAAGUGGUUGUGUGGUUUGGCAGUCUUAUUUCCGCUGGGACAGCUGGGAUGGAGAUGACGAUACGUGAGCCUGGACUCCCCUCCUAAAGACCAUACUCACUGUGAGUUAUAGCAGCAUGCUAGCGCGUCCAAGCCCUCCACCUUCCACUCCUGACAAUCACCAGCUCAGUGUGCUUUGGAGCACACCAACAGCGACACGGUUCUGCCCCGCCCUCCCCCGGUCCCGUCCCCAGCUGCUGUGUCUGUCCUCCGGGGGCACGAUGACCUCUGACCUGCCUGAGGCUUUGCUACCGUCCAGCUUUCUGACCUGGGAUG
ensembl:lncRNA